CGCACACCAGCCGCCGGACAGCCCUACCCGCAUCCCCUCCUUCCUCCUCGCUCGUCACCAGGGCCUCCGCCCUAAGAGCCUCGCCGCUGCUUGCUCCCCUCCUCCACCGGACCAUUGCUUCUUCUCCACCCCGACUUCCUUCUCUUGGUUGUUUAUCCGGCCGUCGGCGGCGACUGGUUCCAGAUCUGGUGCAAGUUAGGCGAGCCCUGUGGUGGCGUGAAGGGGCAGGGGAGGCGGGCGACGAGGACAAGCAACGGUCGGCCCGUCGUGGGUGAGGCUACAGGGAAGAGGGAGGAGGCAGGCGACAGGGUGAAGGAGCAUGCUGGUCCUCGUGGAGGAGGUGUCGCCGGCCAGGGGCCAUUUGCCAUCGCCGGCCUCACUCGCCUCGUCUACUCUCUCUUCACCAACCCGACCACGGUGGAUGGGGCAAGCACGUUUGUGGCCAUCCAGUGGAGCCCCACCUCCGGUCGUAGGAUUGCGUUGCCGUCUUCUUGCUUCGGUCGUGCCCUGGACGAACUCACCCACACCAGCCGUUUCAGAUCAUGUGUUUUUUUAACGAAGUUUCACAUCAUAUGUUGAUACUCUUUUUUACUCAAUCUUUCGUAUUAACCAUCAGCGUAAAGGAUACCAUGUUGUGAAGAAUUGCUUGGGCCCAUGCUUCAGAUGAAAUUAAUUCCUUGACUGUUCUGGUUCUUGAUAAUUCAUUAUAGAAUUUGGCCCUUAUCACUUGUGUGUCCCAGGUUACUGCUUUUCUGUUCUGUUGGUUGAGGUUUGUUCCUUUUCUUUCUAACCAACUGUUUGCCUCUUCACGGCUAAGAUUUGAGUGAAAGAAGGCCACAGUAGGGGAGAAGUGGCCAGGGUCAGAACACCCAUAGCUGAAGGUUAUGUCAGAUUGUACGAACUUUCGUUCUCUGUUUCCUUCUAAUUAAUAAUACUGAUGCAGUUUAAGUGGUAUGCAUUGACACAUUUUCUUAGUUUCGCAGCGCUCGACAAUUGUGGAAGCUUGUGUGAUUCUCUCGAAUCUAGCUUACGCCAACCGUUUAAGUGUUUGGAUGCUCUUCACAUUUGCUUAUAAACUACCAAAUCAUCUGCAGGCCUGAUCUGACAAUCACUAAAGAAUGUUUUGAACUUCUAUCGCUGGUUGCCAUACCCUAAGAAGAUGGGGCAUACAAUUUUUGUUAGCCUGGAGUUAUGGACAUGCUCUUCAGUCAAAUCUCCAACUUCCCAGAUGGUUCAUUCCUUUAGGGUUGUUCUUGCGAUCCACGUGAGUUGAGCGGCGGCUUGGUUGAAGAUGUUGGUGCUGUUUGAGACGCCCACUGGGUUCACCCUUUUCAAUGUUCUGAAUGAGGGCAAGCUCAACACGGUCGAGGAGGUUUAGCAGGUCUGACUUAUGGUCUAAGUUGAUGGUGUUUAGCAAUAUUGGUUCGAUCCAUGCAGAGGUCCUCGCCGUCGUUGCAGUGGCGGGACAAGACGGCGAGGAGCCUCCUCCUCCUCGCGGCGGCUGGCUGUUAAAUGCUUUCGUUUUGUUUUCAUUUUGCCAAAGGUUGGACUGGUAUUUGUUUGGUUUCAUGAUGGAACAAUAUUGCGAGUCAAAUGUGACAUGCAUGAUUGUUUAGCAUUGGAACCAAAUUUCAUGGGGUAAAGCGAGCAUCACUUCCCGUCAUUUUCUGUUUGGGGUAAAGCAUGCAUUUUGGUUAAUGGUGUGAUAACCUGGUUUGCAAGUUUAUGUUUUUCUUCUGGUUCAAACAUGAAAACAAGAUGCUGAUGGAGUGCCCUGUAUUGCUGCUACUUGAUUUUCUGUGAGCUUUCAAAUUAGUUCUGCGCUGUCCUUCAACAAUUGCUUUGCUACAUACAUAUAAUGCAGAAGAAUUGGUAUCUCCAUAGGCAAUUGGUACCACAGUACGCUUGCUUAGGCCAUCUAACAUAUGGAUAGAGAUAGAGUUUAGGCACCUGGAUAAGGGGUUAUAGAGAUUGUACACCAAUAUAGCAUUAGCUGUGCAGUAUGAAAUGACUUAAGAUCAAUAUCAAAUGUUCUUCUCUUUUCAUAGACAAAAGGGAUAAUGUGCCAUAUAUAAUUAUGGUAUGAUGCCUUUCCCACACAUUCAAUGGACAAUCCACUUCCAUGUUUAUUUCUUCUUACACCCAAAAUAUUUCUCUCUCGCAAGUAUUGACUGAAAGAUUAGCAAUAAAAUUAUUAUAAGAGUUAUUCUUGCCUAUAUCGAAGCACUAUAAUGUCUACCAUUAAGUUACAGUUUAAAGUUCAUAUAUAGUAUUAUAUGUUGUUUUUAUUAUUUCGUCAAUUGAAGCUUUCUUAUUAGAUUUUUUCAAGCUGGAUUCCUUCUCAACAUCCUAUACUAAUACAGCUGAUUGGAUAAAGUUCUGUACUGAUAGUCCGAAACUUUGUGGUCGCCCAGGCUAUGCAGCCUUUAAUCAUAUUUAACAUCAUCAUGUAAGUAAAGAUGUCAUGAUCAGAAGUCAUUGGGGUCUCUGGACAAACAAGCUUGAGGAGGCCAUUGUUUGGUGCAGCCCACGAUGACAACUACACCAUUGACCACUGAAGCAAGGUCCUUAUAUGGUCACUGAAGAAACGCGUUGUCAUCUUUUUUUCCGACGGAAUGGCACUUUUCUUGAAUCUAUGCCAGUGUCUGUUGUAAUUUAAUAUCAUCCCUAGGACAAACAUGAUUCUGUGUUGCCGUUCUUUAUCUCUAUUGUUGAAUCCAAAUUACUAAUGUGACAUGAUAACAUAUAUGAUGCGGUUGAUAGUAUUGCUAAGAAGUGCACGGACACAGUGCUUUAUCAUGUCUUGAGUACAUUUUAUUUAUUGUGUUGCCCAUGUGUACAACUACUU